AUUGAACGCUGGCGGCAGGCCUAACACAUGCAAGUCGAGCGGAGCGGCUGACGGGUGAGUGAUUCCUAGGAAUCUGCCUGGCACUGGUGGAUAACGUCCGGCAACGGGCGCUAAUCCCGCAUACUAUCAGAGAAGGCUAGGUGGGUUGCGGUGUUUGGUGGGGUAAAGGCCUACCAAGGCGACGAUCCGUAACUGGGCUGAGCGGCUGAUCAGGCAAACCGGAACUGGGGCACGGUCCAGACUCCGCCGGGUGGCAGCAGUGGGAAAUAUUGGACAAUGGGCAAAAGCCUGUUCCGCCCGUGCCGCGUGUGUGAAGAAGGUCUUCGGAUUGUAAAGCAUUUUAAGUUGGGAGGCGUUAGCAGCAGAAUAAGCACCGGCUAACUUCGUGCCAGCAGCCGCGGUAAUAC
rnacentral:rRNA from 1 species